UGGCCCAGAGAGGUGGGCAACUACCACUCAGGGCCGGAAAGCUCUCCAAACUCGGUCAUUUAGAGGAAGUAAAAGUCGUAACAAGGUCUCCGUUGGUGAACCAGCGGAGGGAUCAUUACCGAGUUUACAACUCCCAAACCCCUGUGAACAUACCACUUGUUGCCUCGGCGGAUCAGCCCGCUCCCGGUAAAACGGGACGGCCCGCCAGAGGACCCCUAAACUCUGUUUCUAUAUGUAACUUCUGAGUAAAACCAUAAAUAAAUCAAAACUUUCAACAACGGAUCUCUUGGUUCUGGCAUCGAUGAAGAACGCAGCAAAAUGCGAUAAGUAAUGUGAAUUGCAGAAUUCAGUGAAUCAUCGAAUCUUUGAACGCACAUUGCGCCCGCCAGUAUUCUGGCGGGCAUGCCUGUUCGAGCGUCAUUUCAACCCUCAAGCACAGCUUGGUGUUGGGACUCGCGUUAAUUCGCGUUCCUCAAAUUGAUUGGCGGUCACGUCGAGCUUCCAUAGCGUAGUAGUAAAACCCUCGUUACUGGUAAUCGUCGCGGCCACGCCGUUAAACCCCAACUUCUGAAUGUUGACCUCGGAUCAGGUAGGAAUACCCGCUGAACUUAAGCAUAUCAAU
rnacentral:misc_RNA from 1 species